rnacentral:rRNA from 1 species
UACGGAAGGUCCGGGCGUUAUCCGGACUUAUUGGGUUUAAAGGGAGCGCAGGCGGACUGUCAAGCGUGCCGUGAAAGCGCGGGGCUCAACCCCGUACAGCGGCGCGAACUGGCGGUCUUGGUUGCGGGAAGGGAAGGCGGAACUCGUGGUGUAGCGGUGAAAUGCAUAGAUAUCACGAAGAACUCCGAUCGCGAAGGCAGCCUUCCGGCCCGUUAACGACGCUCAUGCCCUAAGGCGCAGGUAUCAAACA